GUAAAUUAGAAGCCGUACAACAGACAAGGCCUGUCCAGUUGUUACUAAACUUACCAUGUUUGUACCAGAUCAUUAGUAGAAGAACAAUGAGAGUAGAAGCCUUGGAUCUUAUAAUAUGAAAAAAAGAAAGUAUAAUCUGAGCAGGCGAGCCACAAAGGCUACAAGGCAUGCAGCGGCAAUGCUUGAGACGCGGAAUUGGAUCGAAAUAAUUACGAGCCAAAUGAUGAUCACAUAUGAGGUCCCACGGUCAAACGGCUGCCACCGGUAACACCUACACCUUGACGCGGAUCAUCCUCUCUUUUGCUAGUCAAUAAACAGAAUGGGUUCCAACUUUUCUUUUCUCUGCCUUGUAAUAUAUGGCAUGCUUCAUUUAUAGAUUGUAGUGAACCAAAUCAUGGUGCUAAUUCCAUAUAACAUCAUCUUUCAUUUCCAUUUACAA